UCUGACCGUUCAAAGGUAGCGUAAUCACUUGUUCUUUAAAUGAGGACUAGUAUGAACGGCAUCACGAGGGUUAUGCUGUCUCCCUACUCUACUCAGUGAAACUGAUCUCCCCGUGAAGAAGCGGGGAUAAAAAUAUAAGACGAGAAGACCCCAUGGAGCUUUAAACUCAGUACCAACUGCCCCAAUAAUAACCUAUUAUCCUUGCAGCCAUGGUUACUAGUUUUCGGUUGGGGUGACCACGGAGUAAAAUUUAACCUCCACGAUGAAAGGAACUAAUAUCCUAACCUAUGAGCUACAGCUCUAAGUAUCAACAAAUUGACUAAUUGACCCAAUUACUUGAUCAACGAACCAAGUUACCCUGGGGAUAACAGCGCAAUCCAUUUCAAGAGCUCAUAUCGACAAAUGGGUUUACGACCUCGAUGUUGGAUCAGGGUAUCCCAGUGGCGCAGCCGCUACUAAUGGUUCGUUUGUUCAACGAUUAAAACCUUACGUGAUCUGAGUCAGAACCGGAGAA
rnacentral:rRNA from 1 species